GAUGAACGCUGGCGGCGUGCCUAAUACAUGCAAGUCGAGCGAACAGACGAGGAGCUUGCUCCUCUGACGUUAGCGGCGGACGGGUGAGUAACACGUGUAUAACCUACCUAUAAGACUGGGAUAACUUCGGGAAACCGGAGCUAAUACCGGAUAAUAUAUUGAACCGCAUGGUUCAAUAGUGAAAGUCGGUUUUGCUGUCACUUAUAGAUGGAUCCGCGCCGCAUUAGCUAGUUGGUAAGGUAACGGCUUAGCAAGGCAACGAUGCGUAGCCGACCUGAGAGGGUGAUCGGCCACACGGGAAGUGAGACACGGUCCAGACUCCUACGGGAGGCAGCAGUAGGGAAUCUUCCGCAAUGGGCGAAAGCCUGACGGAGCAACGCCGCGUGAGUGAUGAAGGUCUUCGGAUCGUAAAACUCUGUUAUGAGGGAAGAACAAAUGUGUAAGUAACUAUGCACGUCUUGACGGUACCUAAUCAGAAAGCCACGGCUAACUACGUG
rnacentral:rRNA from 1 species